UGCCUAACACAUGCAAGUCAAGGGGCCUUCGGGUCACUGGCGCACGGGUGAGUAACGCGUAGAUUAUCUGCCCAUAUCUCUGACAUAACUGCGGGAAACUGUAGCUAAUAUCAGAUGAGGCCUACGGGUCAAAGUUUUAAUGGAUAUGGAUGAGUCUGCGUAUGAUUAGCUAGUUGGUAGGGUAAUGGCCUACCAAGGCGACGAUCAUUAGCGGGUUUGAGAGGACGAUCCGCCACACUGGUACUGAGACACGGACCAGACUCCUACGGGAGGCAGCAGUGAGGAAUAUUGGUCAAUGGGGGCAACCCUGAACCAGCGACGCCGUGUGUGCGAUGAAGGAGCUUCGCUUCGUAAAGCACUGUCAGAUAGGAAGAAAAGUCUCUUAUAGGGACUGGGACUGUACUAUCAGAGGAAGGACCGGCUAACUACGUGCCAGCAGCCGCGGUAAUACGUAGGGUCCAAGCGUUAUCCGGAAUUACUGGGUAUAAAGGGUGCGCAGGCGGUUUUUCACGUCUGGGGUUAAAUAUCACGGCUCAACCGUGAAGAUGCCUCGGAAACGGGAGAACUUGAAUAUGAGAGAGGUAAGUGGAAUUCCUGGUGUAGCGGUGAAAUGCGUAGAUAUCAGGAGGAACACCAGUGGCGAAGGCGGCUUACUGGCUCAUUAUUGACGCUCAGGCACGAAAGUGUGGGUAGCAAACAGGAUUAGAUACCCUGGUAGUCCACACCCUAAACGAUGUAUGCUUGGUGUUCCUACUACGUAGGAGUGCCGGAGGUAACCCGUUAAGCAUACCACCUGGGGAGUACGAUCGCAAGGUUGAAACUCAAAGGAAUUGACGGGGGCCCGCACAAGCGGUGGAUUAUGUGGUUUAAUUCGAUGCAACGCGAAGAACCUUACCCAGGCUUGAAGUGAAUGUGCAAACUGGUGAAAGCUCACUUUCUUGGGACAUUAGCAGAGGUGCUGCAUGGCUGUCGUCAGCUCGUGCCGUGAGGUGUUGGGUUAGGUCCCGCAACGAGCGCAACCCUUAUCUUUAGUUGCCAUCAGGUAAUGCUGGGAACUCUAAAGAGACUGCCCGCGUAAGCGGAGAGGAAGGUGGGGACGACCGUCAAGUCAUCAUGGCCCUUAUGUCCAGGGCUACACACGUGAUACAAUGGCAUACACAAAGGGCGAAGCCGCAAGGUGGAGGAAAUCCAUAAAGUAUGUCUCAGUUCGGAUUGAAGUCUGCAACUCGACUUCAUGAAGUUGGAAUCGCUAGUAAUCGUAGAUCAGCUCGCUACGGUGAAUACGUUCCCGGGCCUUGUACACACCGCCCGUCAAGCCAUGGAAGUCGGAGGCGCCCGAAGCGGUAUUUUAAUAUCGUUAAGGCGAAUUUGGUAACUAGGGCUAAGUCGUAACAAGGUAGCCGUAUCGGAAGGUGCGGCUGGAUCACCUCCUU
rnacentral:rRNA from 1 species